rnacentral:rRNA from 1 species
CAGUCGCCACGGGAAUACGUAGGUGGCAAGCGUUGUCCGGAAUUAUUGGGCGUAAAGGGCUCGCAGGCGGUUUCUUAAGUCUGAUGUGAAAGCCCACGGCUCAACCGUGGAGGGUCAUUGGAAACUGGAAAACUUGAGUGCAGAAGAGGAAAGUGGAAUUCCACGUGUAGCGGUGAAAUGCGUAGAGAUGUGGAGGAACACCAGUGGCGAAGGCGACUCUCUGGUCUGUAACUGACGCUGAGGAGCGAAAGCGUGGGGAGCGAACAGGAUUAGAUACCCGGGUAGUCCCUGUCUCUUAUAC